UGGGGAAUUUUCCGCAAUGGGCGCAAGCCUGACGGAGCAAUACCGCGUGAGGGAGGAAGGCUUUUGGGUUGUAAACCUCUUUUCUCAAGGAAGAAGCACUGACGGUACUUGAGGAAUCAGCAUCGGCUAACUCCGUGCCAGCAGCCGCGGUAAUACAGAGGGUGCAAACGUUGUUCGGAAUUACUGGGCGUAAAGCGCGUGUAGGCGGUCCGUUAAGUCGACUGUGAAAGCCCAUGGCUCAACCAUGGAAGUGCAGUCGAUACUGGCAGACUGGAGUCCCGGAGAGGGUGGUGGAAUUCCUAGUGUAGAGGUGAAAUUCGUAGAUAUUAGGAGGAACACCGGUGGCGAAGGCGACCACCUGGACGGGUACUGGCGCUGAGACGCGAAAGCGUGGGAAGCAAACAGGAUUAGAUACCCCCGUAGUCC
rnacentral:rRNA from 1 species